rnacentral:rRNA from 2 species
UGAGGAAUAUUGGUCAAUGGACGAGAGUCUGAACCAGCCAAGUAGCGUGAAGGAUGACUGCCCUAUGGGUUGUAAACUUCUUUUAUACGGGAAUAAAGUGGAGUAUGCAUACUCCUUUGUAUGUACCGUAUGAAUAAGGAUCGGCUAACUCCGUGCCAGCAGCCGCGGUAAUACGGAGGAUCCGAGCGUUAUCCGGAUUUAUUGGGUUUAAAGGGAGCGUAGGCGGGUGCUUAAGUCAGUUGUGAAAGUUUGCGGCUCAACCGUAAAAUUGCAGUUGAUACUGGGUACCUUGAGUGCAGCAUAGGUAGGCGGAAUUCGUGGUGUAGCGGUGAAAUGCUUAGAUAUCACGAAGAACUCCGAUUGCGAAGGCAGCUUACUGGACUGUAACUGACGCUGAUGCUCGAAAGUGUGGGUAUCAAACAGG